rnacentral:rRNA from 1 species
CAGUCAUACCGGCGGAUAUCAGCCUUUUCGGGUGCGAUUCUGUGGGGCGUGGAGGAGCUUAACACCUUCAUGCUUUUGCAUAUUCGUGCUCUUGGGUGUACUUGCCCGUGUGGUUGGUUAACAUCAAUUUCGGUC